rnacentral:rRNA from 1 species
GACGAACGCUGGCGGCGUGCUUAACACAUGCAAGUCGAACGAUGAACCCGGAGCUUGCUCCGGCGGAUUAGUGGCGAACGGGUGAGUAACACGUGAGUAACCUGCCCUUGACUCUGGGAUAACUGCUAGAAAUGGUAGCUAAUACCGGAUACGAUCCUCGGUGGCAUCACCAGGGGGUGGAAAGAAUUUCGGUCAAGGAUGGACUCGCGGCCUAGCAGCUAGUUGGUGAGGUAACGGCUCACCAAGGCGACGACGGGUAGCCGGCCUGAGAGGGUGACCGGCCACACUGGGACUGAGACACGGCCCAGACUCCUACGGGAGGCAGCAGUGGGGAAUAUUGCACAAUGGGCGCAAGCCUGAUGCAGCAACGCCGCGUGAGGGAUGACGGCCUUCGGGUUGUAAACCUCUUUUAGUAGGGAAGAAGCGAAAGUGACGGUACCUGCAGAAAAAGCACCGGCUAACUACGUGCCAGCAGCCGCUGUAA